AUAGCAUUAAAAUAUUGAGAAUUGGUGUACAUUUGGAUACAUCGUGUAUAUGUGUACACUUUGAUGUGAAUAUCACGUACACUCGGAUAUUGUUGUCUACAUGCAAUUGUGUAAGGUGGACUUAUUUUAGAAAUGUGGUUCUACAAUGUAGAAAGCCUUUUGAAAUUCAUUACAUCUAAAAAAUCACAAAUAGCUCAAUAAUGAACAUAUCAACAUGUACACUUGUUUACCAAUUUCCACAUGUACACUUUACCAUGGUGUAAAUUUCAAUUAGACAUUUGCAAAUUUAUAACAUGCAUUUACAACAUUGUAGGAUUAAAGGAAGCAUCUUGUAUAUAGUAUGAAUAUAGAUAAGUGUUUUAAGAACAUAAGACAUCAAGCCACAAGCAUAAAUCUUAGCUAUUUGUUGUAACAUAUAAAUCCACAAGUAAUACAUGGACUUGCACAGCAUUAAAAUAAAAAAAUUUGCUAAAGCAAUGAGAUGUGUAACAACUGCAAAUUAAAAAAAAAACUAUAAAAAUGAAGAAAAUGAAUCACAGUCAUCAUCUUUCUACACACAAACAAGAAAAAAAAACGUGAAAGAGAAUUAUUUGUUUCCAGAAAGAUCAUCUUUCCCCCAAUUCCUUGCAGUAUUGUCGUCAUCUCCCCGUGGCCUUUUCUUCUUCUUCACAAGGUCUCUGAAAAGCCUUAAGUUUAAGGAAGAUGCAGAAUAGGGACUAAUAAUCAGGGACAAAGUUUAGUUCACUAACUGCAAUUUAGGGACUGAUAAUCAGGGGUGAAUUUCGUGUUUUUUGUUCCAAGGUUCAGGGUAAUGAGGAAUCAAGGUGUUAAGGCACCGGCGAGAAUAGGAUGAGGGAAGAUGGUGAACUUUCUGAAUUGAUCUCGGCCGUAGAAAAAUAAAAGGUUGAUCUAAC
rnacentral:lncRNA from 1 species